CAAGGGAAAAGUCCUUACUUACUAACAACUCCUUAAUAACAACUCCUUACUUACUAACAACUCCUUACUUACUAACAAUUCCUUACUAACAACUCCUCACUUACUAAUAACUCCUAUCAUUCUCCUCACCGCCUUCCACUCAAGCCAUCAACUCUCCUUACUACAGCUGUCGCUUCGUCUGCAGAAUUGGUCUGAUGGAGCAAAGGCACUCGGCGCGGCUCGGUGCAAAAAGGCAACAAUGCGACCGGAAGCAUCUGCCUCUGCAGCAACUCAUUGUCUUUGAAACAGGGAGCACACUCGGAGCAUUCAUCAAUUACAAGGCAUACCACUUAAAAGAUACACGUAGAGGAGAUACAUUCUCUACAACACGGAUUAUAAUUUUGUAUUACGUGUUGACGUAGAUUUUGUCUAAUUAGGACUAGAAAUGCGCCUUGCUGAUUACGUCUGGAUGUUCGAAACCAUCGGUUGAAGCAAACCCAGCUGCUGUUGAGAGGCUGUGCACCAAUGAGGGUCAACAGGUGGCUUGCACUGAAUCAAUGAUGCACUCUCAGAAGGCUGUGCUAGGUUUAGUUUGUGUAAAACAUUCCUUUUUUUCGUGGAGAGAUCGAUAAAUGAAAGAUGUCGUGUCUGCUGAUCUGCUUCAUAGCAAGGAGAUAAUUUUAAGAGCACAUUUGAAAUGGAUUUUGGUUCGGAUUUGUAUUUGGUUAUAAGGCAGAGCACAUCGAGUAGAUGCAUUCUCCACAACAUCACUCAUUGGAAUUUUGCAUGACGUCUUAUAUGUUGGCGAACUAGGACAAGAAAUGCCCCUUGCCGAUUAACGUCUGGAUGUUGACAACCAAGGGUUGAAGCAAGCCGGACCGCCUGCGGAGCCCCUCACAACCAUUUACGGCCUUGGGCCAGGAAAGUCACCAAAAAAAUUGCCCACGAACGACGCAUUCACUCAAGCUCCCGGUGCUCAGUUUUGAAGUUUUAAAAUGAAACGACUUUGAA